GCGGCGCGAGGCGACGAGACGGCGCGCGGCGCCGCAGCGGCGACGGGACGCGUGCGACGACGGGGCGCGGCGAUGGGACAGCGGCGCGGCGCGGUAGCAGCGGUGGUACGGGCUCGGGCGGGACGCGACGGGUGGCGACGCGACGGGUGGCGACGAGCGGGCGAGCGGCGACGGUGACUGCGCGACAGCGGCGACGCGACGGGCGGGCAGCGGCGGCGCGCGGCGCGAGGUGCGGGUGCGGGCGCGGCAGUGGUGCGCGGCGCGAGGCGGCGAUGGGACGCGCGCGGCGACGGCUCACAGCAGCGGCGCGGGGCGCGAGGCGGCAGGCUCGCGUCGCGGCGAUAGAACGGGCGAGCGGCGCGCGGGCGCGAGGCGCGAGGCGACGCGACGUCGGUGCGGCGCGGCAGCGGCGAUGGUGACGGCGGUGCGACGGCACGGGGCUCGGGGCGGCCGGGCGCGCGGCGCGCGGGGCAGAGGAGGGGGCUGGGCU
rnacentral:sRNA from 1 species